AUGUACUUUUUUUUUCUCUCUCGUAGCGUGCAAAUGUAUUUAACAAUGUGGCUGCAAGAGGAGAAGAGCAAGAGGAAGAUUUCAGGGCAGUGUAUGAAGGAACUUCAGAUAUGGACAGAAGAGAGGAUAAUUGCGUGUAUGCUCAUAGAAGAAGGUAAAAAUGUUGAGUUGUUUUGUUUUUGUAAACCACUUUGCAAACUCAUACUGAUUUCUUGUGCACUAUGGAUAAACAAAACAGUGGGGAAAAAACAUGGGUUGUGUUUUACUAAAAAAAAAAAAAAAAAAAAAAAUUGUUUUCAUAAAAAUAGCUAA
rnacentral:lncRNA from 7 species